rnacentral:lncRNA from 1 species
UAAUUCUCCCACCCCAGGAAGUUGGGGUGAGGGCAAGCAACUCCCAUGGCCCCCACUAGAGCAGUCAUUGCAAUCACGAAGAGGUGGGUGUCAACAUAGGGUCUCAGAGGCCACGCAAAUUCAGAUGAGGUUACCUGAUUCCUCAGUGGGAAGGGCAGGAAAGCUCAGGGUAACUAACUGACCAGUCUCUUCUGGAAAGAUGAAGAAACCCUUUCUUUCCAAAGAGCAAGCAGGGAAAUGAGCCUCAAAAAGAUCAAGGGAGCCCAUUUUGUAGAAAUGUGCUUAUCCAAGCAUUGAAUGCAGGGGGAACUGCUUUCUUUUAGAACAAAGGAAAUGUCAAGGUGGGUUUUGAAAGUUUUUAGUCCUUUAAAGGCCACAUACUCAUGAUGUUGAAGCUGAUAUUCGCAAUUCAAAACUUCAAGAUGAUCGGUAGGCAUAUCCCCCCACCACCCCCCUUCUGAAAACUGAUAGCACGACAGCAUGGCCCAGCUGGUCCUCAGAAUGCCCUGGAAUUGCCUGCUAAAAAUUCCCAUCGGGGCUUUUAUCAAGAUAUUCAUUCACCAGAUCUAGAUUACAAGCCAGGAAUUUAUAUUAUUAACAAACAUCCCCAGAUAAUUUCAACACAGACCCUCUGUGGCAAGUCCUCACCAUGCCCCAAAGUGGGUGCAGUGCAGCCGCCUGCCCCACUGACUGUGGGUGUUCUGCCCAUGUGACCUGCUUUGGCUGG